rnacentral:rRNA from 1 species
UACCGCAUAAAAACUUUAAACACAAGUUUUAAGUUUGAAAGGUGCAAUUGCAUCUCUCAAAGAUGAUCCCGCGUUGUAUUAGCUAGUUGGUGAGGUAAAGGGUCACCAAGGCGAUGAUACAUAGCCGAUCUGAGAGGGUGAUCGGCCACGUUGGGACUGAGACACGGCCCAAACUCCUACGGGAGGCAGCAGUAGGGAAUCUUCGGCAAUGGACGAAAGUCUGACCGAGCAACGCCGCGUGAGUGAAGAAGGUUUUCGGAUCGUAAAACUCUGUUGGUAGAGAAGAACGUUGGUGAGAGUGGAAAGCUCAUCAAGUGACGGUAACUACCCAGAAAGGGACGGCUAACUACGUGCCAGCAGCCGCGGUAAUACGUAGGUCCCGAGCGUUGUCCGGAUUUAUUGGGCGUAAAGCGAGCGCAGGUGGUUUAUUAAGUCUGGUGUAAAAGGCAGUGGCUCAACCAUUGUAUGCAUUGGAAACUGGUAGACUUGAGUGCAGGAGAGGAGAGUGGAAUUCCAUGUGUAGCGGUGAAAUGCGUAGAUAUAUGGAGGAACACCGGUGGCGAAAGCGGCUCUCUGGCCUGUAACUGACACUGAGGCUCGAAAGCGUGGGGAGCAAACAGGAUUAGAUACCCUGGUAGUCCACGCCGUAAACGAUGAGUGCUAGAUGUAGGGAGCUAUAAGUUCUCUGUAUCGCAGCUAACGCAAUAAGCACUCCGCCUGGGGAGUACGACCGCAAGGUUGAAACUCAAAGGAAUUGACGGGGGCCCGCACAAGCGGUGGAGCAUGUGGUUUAAUUCGAAGCAACGCGAAGAACCUUACCAGGUCUUGACAUACUCGUGCUAUUCCUAGAGAUAGGAAGUUCCUUCGGGACACGGGAUACAGGUGGUGCAUGGUUGUCGUCAGCUCCUGUCCUGAGAUGUUGGGUUAAGUCCCGCAACGAGGGCAACCCCUAUUGGUAGUUGCCAUCAUUAAGUUGGGGCACUCUAACCGAGACUGCCCGGUGAUAAAACCGGAAGGAAGGUGGGGGAUGAACUCCAAAUCAUCAUGGCCCCUUAUGGACCUGGGGCUACCAA